rnacentral:rRNA from 1 species
CCCCGCACAAGCAGCGGAGCGUGUGGUUUAAUUCGAUGCUACACGAAGAACCUUACCAGGGUUUGACAUACAAGUGGUAGAGAAGCGAAAGCGGACCGACCCUUCGGGGAGCUUGCACAGGUGCUGCAUGGCUGUCGUCAGCUCGUGUCGUGAGAUGUUCGGUUAAGUCCGCUAACGAGCGCAACCCUCGCUGUGUGUUAUAUGUGUCACACGGGACUGCCGGUCUUAAGCCGGAGGAAGGUGGGGAUGAUGUCAAGUCAGCAUGGCCUUUAUAUCCUGGGCUACACACACGCUACAAUGGCCAGCACAGUAGGUUGCUAAGCCGCGAGGUGGAGCCAAUCCAUAAAGCUGGUCUCAGUUCAGAUUGCAGGCUGCAACCCGCCUGCAUGAAGAUGGAGUUGCUAGUAACCGCAGGUCAGCUAUACUGCGGUGAAUACGUUCCCGGGGCUU